ACCAAACAAUUCUUUAAGUUGUCCUGUGUG
rnacentral:piRNA from 1 species